GACGAACGCUGGCGGCGUGCUUAACACAUGCAAGUCGAACGGUGAAGCGCCUUCCUUUUUGGUGGGUGUGGAUGAGUGGCGAACGGGUGAGUAACACGUGAGUAACCUGCCCCCUUCUUCUGGAUAACCGCAUGAAAGUGUGGCUAAUACGGGAUAUUCUGGGUCUGUCGCAUGAUGGGUCUGGGAAAGAUAUUGUUUCGGUGGGGGAUGGGCUCGCGGCCUAUCAGCUUGUUGGUGGGGUGAUGGCCUACCAAGGCGGUGACGGGUAGCCGGCAUGAGAGGAUGGACGAUCACAAUGGGGCUGAGACACGGCCCAGACUCCGACGGGAGGCAGCAGUGGGGAAUAUUGGACAAUGGGCGCAAGCCUGAUGCAGCGACGCCGCGAGAGGGAUGGAGGCCUUCGGGUUGUGAACCUCUUUCGCCAGUGAAGCAGGCCUGCCUCGUUUGUGGGUGGGUUGACGGUAGCUGGAUAAGAAGCGCCGGCUAACUACGUG
rnacentral:rRNA from 1 species